CUUUCUCUGGACAGUCUAGAAAAACUGCUCUCCAAACUGAGAUAGUGCCUGGAGACCAAAUAAUGACUCAAACAAAUACAGCUCUGUGAUUUAGUUAUUAGAUAGAUAUUAGAGGUUACUCACUGAGAACUCUCACUCCUAAUCAAGGCAAGGAUCCUCCAGGAACUCACCCCUGGGAAGAGGCAGUUCGGCCUCAUAGAGGAAAGGACACCAUCAGUCCAGCAAGAGAUUCUGGGCACCUCUCAAGCUUCUCUGGGCAAAUACAGCUGCUCUGUGGCCAUGAUCGACCAUCUGCAUCCCCUUGACCGUGAAUGGAUAGUUUUAAUUCAGUUUCUUCAAUCCAG